rnacentral:rRNA from 1 species
GAUGAACGCUGGCGGUGUGCCUAAUACAUGCAAGUCGAGCGGACAGAUGAUGAGCUUUUUCCUCUAACGUUAGCGGCUGACGGGCGAGUAACACGUAGAUAACCUUCCUAUAUUACGUGGGUUAUUACGUGAGGCCACAUCUAAUACCGGAUAAUAUAAUCUACCGCAUGGUUCAAUAGUUAAUCACGGCUUUCCUGACUCAUAUAGAUGGUUUCGCGUCGGAUUAGCUAGUUGGUAAGGUAACGGCUUACCAAGGCGACGAUGCGUAGCCGAGCUGAGAGGAUGAUCGGCCACACUGGAACUGAGACACGGUCCAGACUCCUACGGGAGGCAGCAGUAGGGAAUCUUGCGCAAUGGGCGAAAGCCUGACGCAGCAACACCGCGUGAGUGAUGAAGGUCUUCGGAUUGUAAAGCUCUUUUAUUAGGGAAGAAAAGAUGUAUAAGAAUCUCUGCACGUCCUGACGGUACCUAAUCAGAAAGCAACGGCUAACUACGUG